rnacentral:rRNA from 1 species
GACGAACGCUGGCGGCGUGCCUAAUACAUGCAAGUCGAACGCAGUGGGGACGGGUGAUUAACACGUGGGUAACCUCCCAUCAGAGGGGAUAACACUUGGAAACAGGUGCUAAACCGAUACUGAUGGAUGGACCCGCGGUGCAUUAGCUAGUUGGUGAGGUAACGGCUCACCAAGGCCACGAUGCAUAGCCGAACUGAGAGGGGGAGCGGCCCCACGGGGACUGAGACAGGUCCUGGAUUCCUACGGGAGGCAGCAGUAGGGAAUCAUCGGCAAGGGACGAAAGUCUGACCGAGCAACGACGCGUGAGUGAAGAAGGUUUUCGGAUCGUAAAACGCUGGUGUUAGAGAAGCGGUAUCUAACCAGAAAGCCACGGCUAACUACGUGCCAGCAGCCGCGGUAAUUC